rnacentral:rRNA from 1 species
AGAGCGAACGCUGGCGGCAGGCCUAACACAUGCAAGUCGAGCGCCCGUAGCAAUACGGGAGCGGCAGACGGGAUAGUAACACGUGGGAACGCGCCCUUCGGUUCGGAAUAACUCAGGGAAACUUGAGCUAAUACCGAAUACGCCCUUACGGGGAAAGAUUUAUUGCCGAAGGAACGGCCCGCGUCCGAUUAGCUAGUUGGUGAGGUAAUGGCUCACCAAGGCUACGAUCGGUAGCUGGUCUGGGAGGAUGACCAGCAUCACUGGGACUGAGACACGGCCCAGACUCCUACGGGAGGCAGCAGUGGGGAAUAUUGGACAAUGGGCGCAAGCCUGAUCCAGCCAUGCCGCGUGGAUGAUGAAGGCCUUAGGGUUGUAAAGUCCUUUUAACGGGGAGAUAAUGACGGUACCGUAGAAUAAGCCCGGCUAACUUCGUGCCAGCAGCCGC